rnacentral:rRNA from 1 species
GCUUGCUGCUUCGCUGACGAGUGGCGGACGGGUGAGUAAUGUCUGGGAAACUGCCUGAUGGAGGGGGAUAACUACUGGAAACGGUGGCUAAUACCGCAUAACGUCGCAAGACCAAAGAGGGGGACCUUCGGGCCUCUUGCCAUCAGAUGUGCCCAGAUGGGAUUAGCUUGUUGGUGAGGUAACGGCUCACCAAGGCGACGAUCCCUAGCUGGUCUGAGAGGAUGACCAGCCACACUGGAACUGAGACACGGUCCAGACUCCUACGGGAGGCAGCAGUGGGGAAUAUUGCACAAUGGGCGCAAGCCUGAUGCAGCCAUGCCGCGUGUAUGAAGAAGGCCUUCGGGUUGUAAAGUACUUUCAGCGGGGAGGAAGGUGUUGUGGUUAAUAACCGCAGCAAUUGACGUUACCCGCAGAAGAAGCACCGGCUAACUCCGUGCCAGCAGCCGCGGUAAUACGGAGGGUGCAAGCGUUAAUCGGAAUUACUGGGCGUAAAGCGCACGCAGGCGGUCUGUCAAGUCGGAUGUGAAAUCCCCGGGCUCAACCUGGGAACUGCAUUCGAAACUGGCAGGCUUGAGUCUUGUAGAGGGGGGUAGAAUUCCAGGUGUAGCGGUGAAAUGCGUAGAGAUCUGGAGGAAUACCGGUGGCGAAGGCGGCCCCCUGGACAAAGACUGACGCUCAGGUGCGAAAGCGUGGGGAGCAAACAGGAUUAGAUACCCUGGUAGUCCACGCCGUAAACGAUGUCUACUUGGAGGUUGUGCCCUUGAGGCGUGGCUUCCGGAGCUAACGCGUUAAGUAGACCGCCUGGGGAGUACGGCCGCAAGGUUAAAACUCAAAUGAAUUGACGGGGGCCCGCACAAGCGGUGGAGCAUGUGGUUUAAUUCGAUGCAACGCGAAGAACCUUACCUGGUCUUGACAUCCACAGAAGAAUCCAGAGAUGGAUUUGUGCCUUCGGGAACUGUGAGACAGGUGCUGCAUGGCUGUCGUCAGCUCGUGUUGUGAAAUGUUGGGUUAAGUCCCGCAACGAGCGCAACCCUUAUCCUUUGUUGCCAGCGAUUAGG